GACGAACGCUGGCGGCGUGCUUAACACAUGCAAGUCGAGCGGUAAGGCCCUUUCGGGGGUACACGAGCGGCGAACGGGUGAGUAACACGUGGGUGACCUGCCCUUAGCUCUGGGAUAAGCCUGGGAAACUGGGUCUAAUACCGGAUAUGACUCCAUGACGCAUAUUGUGGGGUGGAAAGCCUUGUGCGGCUAGGGAUGGGCCCGCGGCCUAUCAGCUUGUUGGUGGGUGAUG
rnacentral:rRNA from 1 species